UAGGGAAUCUUGCACAAUGGGCGAAAGCCUGAUGCAGCGACGCCGCGUGCGGGAUGAAGGCCUUCGGGUUGUAAACCGCUUUCAGCAGGGACGAAAGUGACGGUACCUGCAGAAGAAGCCCCGGCCAACUACGUGCCAGCAGCCGCGGUAAUACGUAGGGGGCGAGCGUUGUCCGGAUUUAUUGGGCGUAAAGAGCUCGUAGGCGGUUCCGCAAGUCGGAUAUGAAAUCUCCACGCUCAACGUGGAGGGGUUAUUCGAUACUGCGGUGACUAGAGUCCGGUAGGGGAGUGUGGAAUUCCCGGUGUAGCGGUGAAAUGCGCAGAGAUCGGGAGGAACACCCGUAGCGAAGGCGGCACUCUGGGCCGUGACUGACGCUGAGGAGCGAAAGCGUGGGUAGCGAACAG
rnacentral:rRNA from 1 species